UGAACGUAAGGCCGCAGUCUACCGUUA
rnacentral:sRNA from 1 species